GAGAAAAGCAAAUAUCAGUGUUUGGGAAAUGUUCCAGAGCUAGAAAAUGAAGAAGUACAUGGCUGCCAUUUCUUUGGUCCUUUUCUGGUUUGCAAUAUUCUCGCAUUCUAUAGCUGAUCACGUCAACACCUCUCCACUGUAACAGGAUAUGGUGCUGUGAAAGAUGUGGGUUGUGUUUCCCUUGAAAAGUCUAGUAUUCAUGAGGGGUGCACUCCUAUCCACUUAAACCUUGUGGC
rnacentral:misc_RNA from 1 species